CCCCGCGCGCGCCCAGCAGGUGAAAGUCCCCGCAGCGCCAAGCCGGGACCGGGGAACUUCGCCCUGGCCCAGCCGCAGGACCGUGGGGAUCCAGGCGCAGUCUGCUCAGCCAGUAGCAGCGAAACGGCAUCGCCUUGCAUGUGUGUGUUUGUUUUGUUUUGUUUGAGGAGCCGGAGAGGAGCGCUGUUUAUUGGGUUUUGUUUUCCCAAGAAGACCGUAGAUCUGUCCCAGAUACCCUGGGUCUGGGCCGCAUUAAUUCGGAGAUCUCCACUUCUCCUUAGAACCAAGGCUAAAGCCAAGUAAGAGGACUGUCCUCUGUGCUUUUUUGUCCCUUUGGGUGUGUAGCUUGCAUUUGGGGACUCAGCAGGGUUUCUUUGGGAAGAAUUUAAAUAUUUAAAAGUCGUCAGCCUUGGAGAACUGGAGUAGGCUGCACUAGGGGCAAGAAAUUGCAAAAUGUUCUUACAUCCUUAAUUAAACUUUUUUUUAAACUGGCUAGUGAUGAGAGAGAGAGAGAGAGAGAGAGAGAGAGAGAGAGAGAGAGAGGAAGAAAGAAAGGAGAGAGGGGGAGGGGAGGGAGGGAGAGAGAGAGAAAGUUUUCAAAAUUCUGUGAGGCCUUUUACAGAUGGGCAAAGGAAGGCGCCAAAGGAGGAUUUCGAGACCAGUGUUUCUAAACUUCAUAGAUAGUGUUGUGUAACAGUUUCCUUUGAGACUGAAACAGUCUGUCGAGCAUCCAGCAGGAAAGGUCUUUAAGCAGGAAGGUAAACAACUCAAACUAGCUUCAGGAAGUCCCUGAAACUGGCCAGAUCCAAGAGGCCCCUCCCUGCCAGAGUAAACAAUAAAAGCAGAGCAUCUCAGGUAACUUGAAGCUGAGCUGCAAAGCAGACUCUCGGAGGAAAUAAACUGCAAAGAUUCGGACCAGACCUAGAAGCAGCAGAAACCAACCAAGCUGUCAGGAAGAGGUGUAGAUCAGAGUCACUUGGAAAGGACACUCUCCAACCUGUUGAGCUGCCUGCAGUGUACUCCAGGUCCCCAGCUUUUGUGAGCUGUCACCCGUGCUGCGCUGGACCUUGAUGAUGCAGCUGUCUUUGAGUCAUUUCUGGUCCUGGUGAGAGUACAGCUGCCCUUAGCUGCUCCCUGUCUGCCUGAAUUCCUGUGAAGAGAUAACAUCUUUCUGGGAUAUCUCCCUAAAUUUAAAAAAAAAAAAAAAAAA
rnacentral:lncRNA from 1 species